rnacentral:lncRNA from 1 species
AAUUAUGAUACUAAUUAUGGUAUGACUUAUUUGGGAAUCAUUUCUGAAAACAUGGUUUAAAAAUUAAAGUUUUAUGUAACAUGUUUACACAUGAUUUCAAGAUGUUUCUCACAUCCCAUAGCCCACCUGUGGACCACACUUCUCUAAAACUAAACUCCAAUUUAGAGGUUAUUCUCCCAUGGAGCUAGAGCCUCAGUCAUGGAGGCCUGGCUGUAAACAUUGAGUAAAUCUUCCAUUCCACAUAUGUAUGCCCUGGUUCUGUUUUAAAAUGUUAUCCUACCUUGAGAGUUAACUAUGUCACUUUCCAGGCUAAUUUAUUAGCAGGUGAGAAUAAAAGCCAGAGGGGAUAGGGAACAAAGGAACAGAAGUAGAAGAAAGUAGAAGAAAGAGGGAGAAAGC